UCUUAAAUCACAGAAUGGCUUCAAACUGUUCAAGAAGCUGCAGCAGAGUUCUGAGAACUGACUGCCUGGAGGCAAGCAGAAGGCUGGUAGAAAUGCAGAGAAAGUCUUUGAGGGAAUAAAAUAAAAUAAUGGACACUGCUGGAGAUGCUAUUGCAGAGUUCAAGCUACAGAGACAGACUUGAGUUGAGCUUUCAGGAAUAAAGAAGAAAGGUGUGCAAUCAUGGAGCUUGCCGAGGUGAAGAACAGGAUGGACUCCAGACAGAUAAAUGGACAGUAGGUCCAGACGACAGACAAACAGAAAAAAUGAAUACAGUCUCUGUGGAGCCAAUCUUUGCAAUGGUUUGGAUAGCUGUGUUAGUGGCUGCAAGAAAUAUAAAUCAGGUAUCAAAACAGUCCUGGAAAUCCCACCAGCUUUCUGUGCUUAAAAUGCUUAAUAAGCCUCCCUCCACUGAAGGCUCAGAGAGGUAGAAAGAUUGUAAGAGCCAGAAUGGGUAGAUGACUCCAGGGAAACAGUAUGUUCCAUUCACAAGACUGAUACACAUAUUUACCUACAGACACUGUGACCGCGUGCCCAAGGCCUACAGACAAGCUCAAACAAGACAAAACCCCAGCAUGAAAAAGAGGAGGUUGGCAUGAAAUCCUACUCUUAGUUAAUCUAUUUUCUAUUGAUAGCUGCUGGGAAAGGGAAAGCUCAGUUUUUUCCAAUGGAGUGGCACUGGAUUUCUUUUUUCUCUUUUCUCUGUGUUGUUUUUAUUUUUGUUUUGAAUUAUCUUUUUAAAGAAAGAGGAGAAAACAUGAAGUUUGGUGGUAAAGGGGAAUCUGGGAGGAGUUGAGGUAGUGGAAACAAUAUGAUGAAAAUGCGUUGUUUGAAGUUCUCAAAUGAAUAAAAGCAUAAAGAAAUCAAUAAAUUUUGCCUUGGAAUUAGAAAAGAAUUUCCAACAAUUUUGAAAUGACUCUAAGAAUGAUAAUUUCAAUAUCAAAAUAUCCAGCAAGUCUGAGAAACUUGUCCCUGGGACAAACCCAGCAGGAGUGAGCUGUGCCCUGUCCCCUGUGCACUCCAUUUUCUAGCCCACCUCUCUACCUGCAUUCCCAGAGGUCUACUGGCUACCAGGGACAACCAGAUGAGACCCCUUCCCACAAUCCCCUCCAUGCCAAGUCCCCCUAAAACACACUCAACAGCAGCAAUCUGUACCUGCUACUCUGAACUCCAUUUCCUUGCCCACAACUCUGCCUACAUUCUUGGAGGCCUACCAGCACCAGAAACAACCAGAUCGCUAAAGACCAGCAUAAAUAUACAAUCAACAAGAGCCAAGAAAAUAUGUUAUCACUAGAGCCCAGCUAUCCUACUAAAACAAGCCCUGGAUAUCCAAGCACAGCUGAAGCACAAGAAAGUGAUCCUAAAUACAAUCUUAUGCAGAUGACACAGAUGUUUAAGGAAGAAAUGAAUAAAUCUCUUAAAGAAAUACAGAAAAAUACAAUCAAACAGGUGAAGAAAAUGAAUAAAAAUGUAUCAAGACCUGAAAAUGCAAUUAGAAGCCAUAAAGAAAUUGCAAAUUGAGGGAAUUAUGGAGAUGGAAAACCUAGAUAAGAGAACAGAAACUACUGACACAAGCAUCACCAACAAAAUACAAGAGGUGGAAGAGAGACUCACAGGCUUAAAAAAUUCAAAGAAAAUAUUAAAUCUAAAAAGUUUCUGAUGCAAACCAUCCAGAAAAUUUGGGACACUAUGAAAACAUGAAACCUAAGAAUUAUAGAAUUAAAAGAAGAUGAUUCCCAGAUCAGAGGCCCAGAAAAUAUUUUUAACAAAAUCAUAGAAGAAAAUUUCCCUAACCUAAAGAAAGAGAUGCCAAAAAUGCACAAGAAGUUUACAGAACAAGAGAUUGGAGCAAAAAAGAAAAUCUUCCUGGUAUGUAAUAACUAACUAAAACACUGAAUGUACAGAACAAAGAAAGAAUAUUAAAAGCAGCAAAGAAAAAAAAAAGGCCAAGUAACAUAUAAAGGUAGACCUGGGAGAAUUAUACAUCACAUCUCAAAAGAGACUCUAAAAGCCAGAAGGGGCUGGGCAGAUAUAUUGCAGAUCUAACAGACCACAUAUGUCAACCCAAACUACUAUGCCCAGCAAAAUUUUUAACCUCUAUAGAUGGAGAAAAACAAGAUAUUCCAUGAUAAAAAAAAAAAUUAAACAAUAUCUAUUCACCAAUCCUGCUGUGGAAUUAAUAUUAGUCUCUAAGGUGUUUCUCUACCCCAGCUAGUUCCCAAAUAAUGGAGACAAAGAACUUUUUGUUUUACAAAGGCUUUAAGGCACCAUAACUGGACAAGUAUCAACCCUCUAAGCUGUUUUGCUCUUUCCCAGCUACACACCCAAGCUACUAGCUGGGCUGCUUCUGGUGCCUGGGCUGCUUCUGUUCCAUGAGGCCAGCCCUCAUGGCCUGGUGCUCAUAGUCCUUUAUGCUCCACUUCUUCUCUUGCCUCUACAUCUUCUGCUUCCUCUCUUCUGCCACAUCUUCUCUCUCCACCUCAUGGUCCUCAUCUUACUUACAGCCUGGGAAACUAAGCUCUGACUACUUCUCUCAUUCCCAGUUAGAGGUUUCAGCAACUGUAUUAACCAAUUAGAGAAUAUUGGAAAGCAAAGUUACACAAAGUCACACACAUACAACAUCACUUGGUAUGAGUGAAAAUGCACUCACCUAGGUAGCCAGAUCUUGGGACUAGUAAUUAGUGUUAGAAUACAUAGCAGCAGACUAACCCCCAACAAUAUCUUUCAAUAAAUACAGCCCUAAAGAAGAUACUAGAAGGAAAACUCCAACCCAAGGAUGUUAACAAAACCCAAGAAAAUACGAGAUAUCUGCUCGGAUGUAGCCCGUGGUAGCCCAGUAACCAUAGUAAAGGGAACAAGAACUAUUUCUAACAGGAACUCAAUGGCUGGCUCUUUGACCUCCCCAACCCCCAAGGGAGGAGCAGUCCUGCUAGGCCACAGAGGAGGACUUUGCAGCCAGUCCUGAAGAUACCUGAUAAAACAGGGUCAGAUUAGAGGGAAGGAGGUCCUUCCCAA